GCUCUCGUCGUUCAACGAAUAGGACGCAGCCCUCCGAAGGCUGUAAUACUGGUUCAACUCCAGCCGAGAGCA
rnacentral:tRNA from 1 species